rnacentral:rRNA from 1 species
AAUGAACGCUGGCGGCGCGCCUAAUACAUGCAAGUCGAGCGAGAAGACGUAGCAAUACGUUUGUAAAGCGGCGAACGGGUGAGGAAUACAUGGGUAACCUACCCUCGAGUGGGGAAUAACUAGCCGAAAGGUUAGCUAAUACCGCGUACGCUUCUUGGACUUCGGUUCAGGGAGGAAAGCGAUGCCGAGGGUAUCGCGCUCUUGGAUGGGCUCAUGUCCUAUCAGCUUGUUGGGAGGUAACGGCUCACCAAGGCUUCGACGGGUAGCUGGUCUGAGAGGACGAUCAGCCACACUGGCACUGCGACACGGGCCAGACUCCUACGGGAGGCAGCAGUAAGGAAUAUUGCGCAAUGGGCGAAAGCCUGACGCAGCGACGCCGCGUGGGGGAUGAAGGUCUUCGGAUUGUAAACCCCUUUCGGGAGGGAAGAUGGAAUGGGGUAACCCAUUCGGACGGUACCUCCAGAAGCAGCCACGGCUAACUUCGU